rnacentral:rRNA from 1 species
AGCGAACGCUGGCGGCAGGCCUAACACAUGCAAGUCGAACGGAUCCUUCGGGAUUAGUGGCGGACGGGUGAGUAACACGUGGGAACGUGCCUUUUGGUUCGGAACAACGCAGAGAAAUUUGCGCUAAUACCGAAUGUGCCCUUCGGGGAAGGAUUAUCGCCAUUAGAGCGGCCCGCGUCUGAUUAGCUAGUUGGUGAGGUAAAGGCUCACCAAGGCUACGAUCAGUAGCUGGUCUGAGAGGAUGAUCAGCCACAUUGGGACUGAGACACGGCCCAAACUCCUACGGGAGGCAGCAGUGGGGAAUCUUGCGCAAUGGGCGAAAGCCUGACGCAGCCAUGCCGCGUGAAUGAUGAAGGUCUUAGGAUUGUAAAAAUUCUUUCACCGGGGACGAUAAAUGACGGUACCCGGAGAAGAAGCCCCGGCGUAACUUCGUGCCAG